rnacentral:rRNA from 1 species
UACGGGGGGGGCAAGCGUUGUUCGGAAUUACUGGGCGUAAAGGGCUCGUAGGUGGCCAACUAAGUCAGACGUGAAAUCCCUCGGCUUAACCGGGGAACUGCGUCUGAUACUGGAUGGCUUGAGUUUGGGAGAGGGAUGCGGAAUUCCAGGUGUAGCGGUGAAAUGCGUAGAUAUCUGGAGGAACACCGGUGGCGAAGGCGGCGUUCUGGACUGCAACUGACACUGAGGAACGAAAGCCAGGGUAGCAAACGGG